ACGAACGCUGGCGGCAGGCCUAACACAUGCAAGUCGAACGCCCCGCAAGGGAGGUGGCAGACGGGUGGAGUAACGCGUGGGAACGGUACCCUUCGGUUCGGAAUAACCCGGGGAAACGUACGGGCUAAUACCGGAUACGUCCGCAAGGAGAAGAUUUAUCGCCGAAGGAUCGGCCCGCGUCGGAUUAGCUAGUUGGUGGGGUAAUGGCCCACCAAGGCGACGAUCCGUAGCUGGUCUGAGAGGAUGAUCAGCCACACUGGGACUGAGACACGGCCCAGACUCCUACGGGAGGCAGCAGUGGGGAAUAUUGGACAAUGGGCGAAAGCCUGAUCCAGCCAUGCCGCGUGAGUGAAGAAGGCCUUAGGGUUGUAAAGCUCUUUCAGCGGGGAAGAUAAUGACGGUACCCGCAGAAGAAGCCCCGGCUAACUUCGUGCCAGCCGCCG
rnacentral:rRNA from 1 species